rnacentral:rRNA from 1 species
GCUGAUGCGUUGUUGGGUAGGGGAGCGUUCUGUAAGCCUGCGAAGGUGGCCUGUGAGGGUUGCUGGAGGUAUCAGAAGUGCGAAUGCUGACAUAAGUAACGAUAAAGCGGGUGAAAAGCCCGCUCGCCGGAAGACCAAGGGUUCCUGUCCAACGUUAAUCGGGGCAGGGUGAGUCGACCCCUAAGGCGAGGCCGAAAGGCGUAGUCGAUGGGAAACGGGUUAAUAUUCCCGUACUUGGUGUUACUGCGAAGGGGGGACGGAGAAGGCUAUGUUGGCCGGGCGACGGUUGUCCCGGUUUAAGCGUGUAGGUGUGUGUUCCAGGUAAAUCCGGUUCACUUUAACACUGAGGCGUGACGACGAGGCACUACGGUGCUGAAGCAACAAAUGCCCUGCUUCCAGGAAAAGCCUCUAAGCAUCAGGUAACAUCAAAUCGUACCCCAAACCGACACAGGUGGUCAGGUAGAGAAUACCAAGGCGCUUGAGAGAACUCGGGUGAAGGAACUAGGCAAAAUGGUGCCGUAACUUCGGGAGAAGGCACGCUGACACGUAGGUGAAGUGAUUUACUCAUGGAGCUGAAGUCAGUCGAAGAUACCAGCUGGCUGCAACUGUUUAUUAAAAACACAGCACUGUGCAAACACGAAAGUGGACGUAUACGGUGUGACGCCUGCCCGGUGCCGGAAGGUUAAUUGAUGGGGUCAGCGCAAGCGAAGCUCCUGAUCGAAGCCCCGGUAAACGGCGGCCGUAACUAUAACGGUCCUAAGGUAGCGAAAUUCCUUGUCGGGUAAGUUCCGACCUGCACGAAUGGCGUAAUGAUGGCCAGGCUGUCUCCACCCGAGACUCAGUGAAAUUGAACUCGCUGUGAAGAUGCAGUGUACCCGCGGCAAGACGGAAAGACCCCGUGAACCUUUACUAUAGCUUGACACUGAACAUUGAGCCUUGAUGUGUAGGAUAGGUGGGAGGCUUUGAAGUGUGGACGCCAGUCUGCAUGGAGCCGACCUUGAAAUACCACCCUUUAAUGUUUGAUGUUCUAACGUGGACCCGUGAUCCGGGUUGCGGACAGUGUCUGGUGGGUAGUUUGACUGGGGCGGUCUCCUCCUAAAGAGUAACGGAGGAGCACGAAGGUUGGCUAAUCCUGGUCGGACAUCAGGAGGUUAGUGCAAUGGCAUAAGCCAGCUUGACUGCGAGCGUGACGGCGCGAGCAGGUGCGAAAGCAGGUCAUAGUGAUCCGGUGGUUCUGAAUGGAAGGGCCAUCGCUCAACGGAUAAAAGGUACUCCGGGGAUAACAGGCUGAUACCGCCCAAGAGUUCAUAUCGACGGCGGUGUUUGGCACCUCGAUGUCGGCUCAUCACAUCCUGGGGCUGAAGUAGGUCCCAAGGGUAUGGCUGUUCGCCAUUUAAAGUGGUACGCGAGCUGGGUUUAGAACGUCGUGAGACAGUUCGGUCCCUAUCUGCCGUGGGCGCUGGAGAACUGAGGGGGGCUGCUCCUAGUACGAGAGGACCGGAGUGGACGCAUCACUGGUGUUCGGGUUGUCAUGCCAAUGGCACUGCCCGGUAGCUAAAUGCGGAAGAGAUAAGUGCUGAAAGCAUCUAAGCACGAAACUUGCCCCGAGAUGAGUUCUCCCUGAGACUUAGAGUCUCCUGAAGGAACGUUGAAGACGACGAC